CCCCCCGUGGUGGAAUCGGCAGACACGCCCGCCUUGCAGACGGGCGGCUUCACAGCCAUCCGAGUUCGAUCCUCGGCGGGGGGA
rnacentral:tRNA from 1 species